rnacentral:rRNA from 1 species
UACGUAGGUGGCAAGCGUUGUCCGGAAUUAUUGGGCGUAAAGCGCGCGCAGGCGGUCCUUUAAGUCUGAUGUGAAAGCCCACGGCUCAACCGUGGAGGGUCAUUGGAAACUGGGGGACUUGAGUGCAGAAGAGGAGAGUGGAAUCCCACGUGUAGCGGUGAAAUGCGUAGAGAUGUGGAGGAACACCGGUGGCGAAGGCGCCACUCUGGGCCGAAACUGACGCUGAGGAGCGAAAGCGUGGGUAGCAAACAGG